GUUUCCGUAGCCCAAUUGGAUAGAGCGUUGGCCUCCGAAGCCAAAGGUUGCUGGUUCGACUCCAGUCGGAAACG
rnacentral:tRNA from 1 species